UGUUUAUACAUGUCGUCUGAGUACUAUAUAAUAGUUAAAACUUUCAACAACGGAUCUCUUGGUUCUGGCAUCAAUGAAGAACGCAGCGAAAUGCGAUAAGUAAUGUGAAUUGCAGAAUUCAGUGAAUCAUCGAAUCUUUGAACGCACAUUGCGCCCCUUGGUAUUCCGGGGGGCAUGCCUGUUCGAGCGUCAUUUCAACCCUCAAGCUUAGCUUGGUAUUGAGUCUAUGUCAGUAAUGGCAGGCUCUAAAAUCAGUGGCGGCGCCGCUGGGUCCUGAACGUAGUAAUAUCUCUCGUUACAGGUUCUCGGUGUGCUUCUGCCAAAACCCAAAUUUUUCUAUGGUUGACCUCGGAUCAGGUAGGGAUACCCGCUGAACUUAAGCAUAUCAAUAAGCGGAGGAAAAGAAACCAACAGGGAUUGCCCCAGUAACG
rnacentral:rRNA from 1 species